CAAAUCCAACAAAAAUUCAACUUUUAUAAUUCAAUCUGUAAAACCCAGCAGCAACCGACUUACUUGUUCCCUUCACAGUUCACCACAAAAAAAAAAAAAAAAACUCAAUCUGCUCUUUUCACUGCAGAAUUCCAUUGGUAAUUUUAAUAAUUUCUGCAAAGUUAUUUUAUUUCAGCAUCUCAAUUGUUUCUUCAUUCUCUGCUCAAAACCAAGAUUUCCAAAUUCAUAUAUGCAUACAUCAUCAAAUCUAUCAUUUAUAUUUAAUAUGAAAUCAAAUAGAAUUCAUAUCCAUAGUUUACAGAGAAAGAAAUUUUGAAAAUCUAGACUGAUAAAAGGGAGUUGGACUGAACUUUGGGGGAGGAGUUGGUGCAGAGGCGGUGGCGGGGAGAAGUAGGGGCGGCGUACGGCGAGAGGAAACAGGGGCAGCGGCACCGUGGUCUCUGCCGCUGCUGUGUAUUACCGGUCAGGGCGGAGGGAGAAGCGUUUGGGCUGUGCUGCUGUCCGUCGCGGUGGCGGUGGCGGUGGCGGCGCGGUCUCGGCUCUGCUGUGCUGUUCCGGUCGAAGGAGGAGGUGGCUGGGACGGCGAGGACAGGGGCAGGGGAGGAUGAAGGGAGAUAGGAAGAUAGGGAAGGAGAGUGAGGAGGUAGGAGCCGCCGGCCUCCGGCGGUGGCGGCCGUCCGGUGGCGCGGUGGUAGGAGGCCGAGAGGGAGAUAGAGGGGGGUGGAGAGAAGAGAGAGAGCGGCUGAGAGGGAAGAGGCGUGAGUUGUGAAUUUUAGUGAAUCUGCUAUGUGUUUGUGUCGUGGGAGUGUUGGGGUGUGUGUAAGUUUAAUUAGGGAUUGUUAGAUGGGCUUAGGAAUGGGCUUUAUUUUGGGUCUUAAUUUUAUUAAUUGAAUUGGGCUUCUAAUUUAGUUAAUUCUUUUAAGUAGUGAGCAUAAUUUAUUUAAGCCCAUAGUUACUCUUUUAAUUAUUAUUCCCAUUUCAGAUUUUCUAAAAAAAAACUUAUAUAAAUAAUUUUCUCAAGUUUAAUUAUAUUUAAAAUAUUUUAAUUAAGUCCUUAUAUUUUAUUAUUUGAAUUUAUCUGACUAGGUGCGGCGCGACUAGGACAUAACUGUUGAUCUGAAAUUAUUCAAGUUAUCUAUCAAAUCCAUAUUUUCAGGUGCGGCGCGACUAGGACAUAACUGUUGAUCUGAAAUUAUUCAAGUUAUCUAUCAAAUCCAUAUUUUCAGGUGCGGCGCGACUAGGACAUAACUGUUGAUCUGAAAUUAUUCAAGUUAUCUAUCAAAUCCAUAUUUUCAGGUGUGGGAUUUAUUUCAGUACAUGCACGUGGUUAAUAUUUGUCCAUUUUAAUAUUAUGUGUUUACCGUAUGUGUUGUAAAAAUAUUUAUCGCUAGGGGCCAGCAUAAUUGGUCCAGGACUUCACCGUCCUUGGUAUGCCACAAAGCGAUUUCAUGUUACAGGGUUGCAACCAUUAUAUUGUCGCCAGGGGCCCACAUAUAGGGUCCGGGACAUUAAAGUCCUUGGAUUGCCACAGUGCGUAUGGAAGUUAUGUUACGUUAUGAUAAUAUGUGUUACCAUUUUAUUAACAUGGACAAUUAUUGCAUGUUCCCACACUGAGUGUACCCUGUAUGCUCAUCCCAUAUUCAACAGUUUCAGGUGAUUGAUAUCGGAGGCGCGUGGAGAGUCGAAUGGGCGCGUCGAAUCUAUUUAAAGAUAAAUGUUUCCUAAAACAUAUUAUGUUAUUUCAUGUGAUAUCUCUUGAUUAUGUAAACUCUGAAAUUCUAUACUAUUUGAGAUUUGUGUGUGAUUUGUUUAAAUAAAUGUUAUUAUAUUAUUUUAAA